UACGGAGGGUGCAAGCGUUAUCCGGAUUCACUGGGUUUAAAGGGUGCGUAGGUGGAUCGGUAAGUCCGUGGUGAAAUCCCCGAGCUUAACUCGGGAACUGCCGUGGAUACUAUCGAUCUUGAAUACUGUGGAGGUAAGCGGAAUAUGUCAUGUAGCGGUGAAAUGCUUAGAUAUGACAUAGAACACCGAUAGCGAAGGCAGCUUGCUACACAGUUAUUGACACUGAGGCACGAAAGCGUGGGGAGCAAACAAG
rnacentral:rRNA from 1 species